rnacentral:rRNA from 1 species
UACGUAGGGUGCGAGCGUUAAUCGGAAUUACUGGGCGUAAAGUGUGCGCAGGCGGCAGAGCAAGUCGAGUGUGAAAGCCCCGGGCUUAACUUGGGAAUUGCGCUCGAAACUACUUUGCUGGAGUGUGGCAGAGGAAGGUGGAAUUCCACGUGUAGCGGUGAAAUGCUUAGAUAUGACAUAGAACACCAAUUGCGAAGGCAGCUCACUACACAAUCAUUGACGCUGAGGCACGAAAGCGUGGGGAUCGAACAGG